GGCGACUGUCGUUAGCUAGCGCAAUUUUGAAACCACAAAAUUUGAUCCAAUUUGAUCCUUCUAUUGUUUUAAUGAAGGUGCCUAUAACAGCAGUGGCGGCGGUGCUUGAAGAUGAAGUAAAACUCACUACUGUGCUUGCAAGCGUGUGCGCAGAAGGGGUGCCACUACCAUGACGAUGACAAAUCGAAUGCGCAUGUUGAUGAAACAGCACGGCACGUAACUGGCAUGCCAUUUAAACCAAUGAGAGCGCAAAAAAUUAAUGCUCAGCCAAUGGAAAUGUGUGUACACGGUAACGUCACGAUCAUGGCCGUAACUACAGAGAGAAAAUGUACUUCGUAAUGAAAUGAAAUUAGAAUAAGUUGUAGAGUUAUUGGAAGAAAGAAAAUAUGAAAGAAUGGGAGGAUAGGUGGAUGAAAAGAAGCAAAAAUAACAAAGGUGACUUAUGAAAGUGUAACCUGAAACACCUUACGGGCUUCCUGUGGUUUAUAUAACACAGGCAACCCAAUAGUGUUGAUAGCCGACAUGGCGGAUCUAGAAGAAGAAGAAGGAUCGUCCUUCAACGUUAGAGAUAGACUUAUAUCACCAACACAUUCAAGUACAAACGCUACAAANCUUGAUGAGGAAUUUGAAUUAAUCCAACCCGUCAAUUUUAGCCAACCACUUGGUUGCUGUAAUAUUUGUCCAGGUAAAACAUUGAUGGUUUUGGCNUCAUUUCUGGCUGGUCUUGGUGGUAUUCUCUUUGGUUAUGAUAUUGGUAUUGUAUCUGGUGCUGUAUUGCAACUACGGAAAGAAUUCACCCUGAGUUGUUUCCAGCAAGAAAUGAUUGUCAGUUCAAUGUUGAUUGGUGCAGUGUUAGCUUCUCUUACUGGAGGAUUUAUUGUAGAUUUUCUAGGUAGACGUCGUGCUAUCAUCAUAAACUCUGUUAUCUUCUUGGUUGGUGCUAUAAUAUUAGCAGUUGCUCAGAGUUAUCCAGUUCUGGUGUUAGGAAGACUGAUUGUUGGGUUUGGUGUGUCCUUAUCUGCUACUGCCGAGUGUAUCUACAUAUCUGAAAUAGCACCUGCUAAAUGGCGAGGGAUGCUUGUAUCUCUCAAUGAAUUAGGAAUAUGUCUUGGUCUCUUGCUCGCUUAUGUUGUUAAUUUUCUAUUCAUUGAUGUCCCAUCUGGUUGGAGAUAUAUGUUUGGUUUGUCAGGGAUUCCAGCCCUGGUCCAAGGAAUUGGAAUGUUUUUUCUACCACAAAGUCCAAGAUGGUUAAUAGUUAAUGGUCAGGAGGCAAAGGCUUGUACCAGUAUACACCAGUUACACUGGAUGGGUGAUCCAUAUGAAGAGAUGGCCAAAAUCAAGUCUGGCAUUCAUACUACACAUCAUUACAAAUUCAAAGACUUGUUCAGUAAGACAGACAAUAUGCGACAAAGAAUGCUUGUUGGGUGUGGUGUGAUAUUCUUUCAACAGUUUACAGGUCAACCUACAGUAGUAUAUUAUGCAUCAACAAUCUUCCAAGUUCUUGGGUUCCACAGUGGAGGAAAAGCUACUCUUGCCACUCUGAGUAUUGGUUUGGCCAAGCUCAUGGCUACUAUAGCUUCAUUGUUGACUGUGGACAGAGGAGGUCGCCGUCGGUUCCUGCUGCUUGGUUCAUCAGUGAUGUGUGUGAGCAUCCUUACUCUUGGCCUUGUGGUCCAUUAUCUACCNAUUGAGCUACACCCUUCUAACAAGUGCCAGUAUUCUGACACCUCUCCAAUGAACGUCAAUNACAACAGUAGCAUUACUACACUUCGCAUCCCGAGCACUUUAAACCCUUUGUCCAUCCACGCAACCUCCCAUGGCCAGAGUACUAGUAUUCUGACGAGGACGGAUUUUUCAUUGCCCAAGAANACUUCUCCUGUUANUCCUGGCUUGAAGUAUAUUUCACUUACUGCUAUGGUUCUGUUUGUUGGCGCAUACUCAUUUGGAUUUGGACCAGUUUCCUGGCUGUUGUUAAGUGAAAUAUUUCCCUCAGCCAUCAAGGGUCGAGCCUUUGCAUUCUCCACUGUACUUAACUGGGGCUCUAAUCUGAUCGUUUCCUUGACCUUCCUGGACCUUAUAAGCUCAAUAGGCACAUCAUGGACGUGUUANCUUUACUCCUUUAUUGGGAUGAUAUCAGUCAUUUUCAUCUAUAAAUACGUACCAGAGACAAAAAACAGAACAUUAGAACAAAUAUCUGCUGAAUUCAAUUCCAGAAAAACAAGAAACGUCAUCCCCAAGUCACUGAUAAAAUGUCUAGGGACUAUGACGUCACGAGACGGUGUUCAGAGAAGACGGCCGUUUAAUACUGGGUCUGCUUCGGAUGUCUUGCUAGAAAAUGACUCUGGAGAGACAUGACGAGGACUGAGGUGCUGGCGAUGGUCAUGGAAUAGAACUAGGGUAUGACAUAGAUAGCGCUAGCUUUGGCUGUGCGAUAGCUCCAUGGUUUCAAACAACCACCCUUGAAAUGUGGAGAAUUACAAGCGUUGGGUUGCCUGUUGAUAUAGACUUGGUGGACGACCAGAAUUUUAAGCGUUGGGUUUCCUGUUGGUACAGGUAUAUGUGUCAGACGUGGAGAAGACCGACUGUGAAAAAUCCAAGUGCUGGGUUAUCUGAUGACACAGGUAUCUCAAGUGUCGACCACCGAAGUGCACGGAAAUAGUAAAAACUCCAAGUGAUGGUUUACUUGUUAACACAGGUAUCCCAAGUGGAUGAGAAUCGAGUAGAAGUAGAAAGUGGCCCACUCUAGCCGAGGAAUACGACAAAAUAACCGAAAAAAGCAAUAAUUGCUCGAAUUCAAGGAGCCAAUGAAAAAGCACGAAGUUCGACUCAGGCGUAGGCAAUUUUUAUUCAACGCUACUCUGAAAUUUAACCCACCAAAAAUGAUACAUUUAGGUCGUCACCUGGAUGGUUUAUUUGUUUAUUUAUUAACAAAUGAAUGGCUAUGAGAUAAAUCCUNAUCAAAACACGACUUGAAUAAAUCAACGAAUCCCUGCUUCAUUAUGGAAAUACAAAUAUAGCCAUCCUAUNUAUGAUUAAGAAGACCGAUGCUUCUAUCAAAACUUCAAUAUACAUUAUAUAUAUCUGGUUAAACUAGUAUUGGGCUUCCUUUGUCCACAGGAAUCCCGUUCGAUAAAAUCGUACCUCGAGACCUGUACCUCAAGAAAUCACAAAUAAUUCCUAGAUUAUUUUUGCUAGGGCAAAUUCAGUUUACUUCUCUUUGGUUUCUUAAAGUUUCGUCUGAAUAGUGUAGAAUAUACAUCUGGAUCAUUGCCUUUUACACCUGGUGCUAGGACGUUCUGGCGGAGCAUUCUGGGAAUGUUUCCGGCCGGGCGGUAGAGUGCUACUAUGUAGACUGGACCAGACUGGUUCGUAGGGGUUCGAGCACAUCCGACUCCUAACUCCUUACUGUCCUUCCAUACUACCUGUGGACGGUAAAAAUGGAUUUGACCAUGAAAACUCCUCGAAACAGUGUCUGUGUGUCUGUGUAACCUGUGUGAAGGUGUCUGUGUGUCUGUCUAACCUGUGUGAAGCUAAGGUGUCUGUGUGUCUCUUACCUGUGUAAAGGUGUCUGUGUGCCUAUCUAACCUGUGUGAAGCUAAGGUGUCUGUGUGUCUGUCUUACCUGUGUAAAGGUGUCUGUGUCAGCAUUCAGUCUAGGGUCUGAGUAGCUGUAGUUUUUAGCUUGGCUGUACCAGAGGUUGGUUGCUAUCUCUCCAGCAUCGUCACAUGUCAUGAAACCUGCAAUGAAUGUAAUCAUUCAUCAAAUUGUUAAGUAAUGGCAUAAAUACUAUGGUUUCCAUCGAUCUAUUGCCCCCCGCACCAGGCGUUUCUCUCCUGGUUCUAUGAGAAAAGAGAAAGACAGCAACUUGAUGGGGGCGCAACAGGUCAGAUGAAGAAUAGACUGAUCUUUAUUUAUAUCUUACCUGCAAGCUUAGCGAGGUUUUGACCCAAAUUAACAGCCAUAUUUCGCUGGCCAGACGAGAACGACCCACCCCUCGCCAUGCUAUCGACUAUAGCUUGUGCUUGAUCAGCGAGCGAAUCUGACCAGUUUAAUGGAGGAGAGUGAUGGAUGCUGCGGUAUUUNUUGUGUGACUCUAGCGCUGAAUGCGGUACAGUACUUUUGGAAUCUGGUAUGAACACUGAACAUAAAAGAUAACCAUGAUUNGGUUAGUUCUUUCUCAUGUGUUGCNGCUAGAGCAUCAGCAUNAGCAACAUACACAGANUCAGUGCAGCUCUUCUCUCACAAUUCUAAGGAAAUACAACUGCUGGUAAUGAGCAUUGCACAACUAAGUCUACAACACAAGUUCUUUCUCAUGUGUUGCAGCUAAAGUAUAAGCAUCAGCAACAUACAGGUGUGAAAAAAAGAAAACUGCUGUUGAUGAAAAAUGCACAACUGAGUGUACAACACAAGUAUAAGCAUCAGCAACAUACACAGACUCAGAGCAGCUCUUCUCUAACAGGUGUUAGGAAAGACAACUGCUGUUAAUNAGCANUGCACAACUGAGUCUACAACANAAGUAUAAGCAUCAGNAACANACACAGACUCAGUGCAGCUNUUCUCUAACAGGUGUGACGAAAGACAAUGAGUCUGCAUAUGUUUUUUGCAACAGUUCAACGCCAAGCUUUUUUAAAACAUGCUCCAGCGACUUGUCGCCCUAGAGUGUGCUCUUGCGAGUAAUUUAUUAGAAAGUUAUUUAUUAUGUGCAUCAUUAUUUAUUUUUGUAUUUUCACUUAUUAUUUUUCUUUUUAUUCGUAUUCGUGAUGUGCAAAUACCUUGUAAAAUUCUACUGUAAGUUGGACCAGCAACUGGAGGUUUCCAAAUUGAAAUGUGAAAAUAUAAAAAAUAAAACAAGUUAGUAUAGUCACAAUUAUUAAAUGGUAGGAUAUU
rnacentral:misc_RNA from 1 species